UACGUAGGGUGCAAGCGUUAAUCGGAAUUACUGGGCGUAAAGCGUGCGCAGGCGGUUUUGUAAGUCUGACGUGAAAUCCCCGGGCUUAACCUGGGAAUUGCGUUGGAGACUGUAAGGCUAGAGUGUGUCAGAGGGGGGUAGAAUUCCACGUGUAGCAGUGAAAUGCGUAGAUAUGCGGAGGAACACCGAUGGCGAAGGCAAUCCCCUGGGCCUGCACUGACGCUCAUGCACGAAAGCGUGGGGAGCAAACAGG
rnacentral:rRNA from 1 species